rnacentral:rRNA from 1 species
UACGUAGGGCGCAAGUGUUAUCCGGAAUUAUUGGGCGUAAAGAGCUCGUAGGCGGUUUGUCGCGUCUGCCGUGAAAGUCCGGGGCUCAACCUCGGAUCGGCCGUGGCGACUCGUGGGCUGGAGCACUGUAGAGGCGGGUGGAAUUCCGGGUGUAGCGGUGGAAUGCGUAGAGAUCCGGAAGAACACCAGUGGCGAAGGCGGCCCGCUGGGCAGUGGCUGACGCUGAGGCGCGACAGCGUGGGGAGCAAACAGG